rnacentral:sRNA from 1 species
UUUUCUGCCAUUUUUUGGCGAAUUUUCAGCGUAUUUUAGCGAAUUUUUAGG